UCUGUUGUGCGAUGGCGUGUUGACCGUGUGCCCGUCGACGCCGGGCUGGUCGAUCAGCGAGGCGCGGCGGCAGUUUGGUGCGACCACGAUUCAGCGGGU
rnacentral:tRNA from 1 species